UACGGGGGGAGCAAGCGUUGUUCGGAGUUACUGGGCGUAAAGGGUGUGUAGGCGGUUUUCUAAGUCUGGUGUGAAAUCUCCCGGCUCAACUGGGAGGGUGCGCCGAAAACUGGAAGGCUAGAGUGCGGGAUGGGAGAGUGGAAUUCCUGGUGUAGCGGUGAAAUGCGUAGAUAUCAGGAGGAACACCUGUGGUGUAGACGGCUCUCUGGACCGCAACUGACGCUGAGACACGAAAGCGUGGGUAGCAAACAGG
rnacentral:rRNA from 1 species